rnacentral:rRNA from 1 species
GAUGAACGCUAGCUACAGGCUUAACACAUGCAAGUCGAGGGGAAACGACAUCGAAAGCUUGCUUUUGCUGGGCGUCGACCGGCGCACGGGAGAGUAACGAGUAUCCCAUCAGCCCAUCACAUGGGGAUAACCUUGCGAAAGUAAGCCUAAUACCCAAUGUUAUCCCUAGAAGGCAUCGGAAAGAGUUUAAAGAUUUAUCGGUGAUGGAUGGGGAUGAGUCUGAUUAGCUUGUUGGCGGGGUAACUGCCUACCAAGGGAACGAUCAGUAGGGGUUUGGAGGGGAAGGUCCCCCACAGGGGAACUGGGACACUUGCCAAACAGCUACGGGCGGCAGCAGUACGGGAUACUGGACUAUGGGCGAGUGCCUGAUCCAGCCAAGUAGCAUGCAGGAACACGGCCUGAGGGAUGGUAAACUGCUGUUAGAAGGGAACAAAGGGAUGGCCGUGACUCUGUGUGUCGGUACCUGAUGAAGAAGCACCGGCUAAUUCCGUG